rnacentral:rRNA from 1 species
UACGAAGGGUGCGAGCGUUGUUCGGAAUUACUGGGCGUAAAGGGUUCGUAGGCGGGAAGACAAGUUGAGUGUGAAAACCCCGGGCUUAACCUGGGACGUGCACCCAAAACUGUUUUUCUUGAGUAUCGGAGAGGGUAGUGGAAUUGCUGGUGUAGGAGUGACAUCCGUAGAGAUCAGCAGGAACACCGGAGGCGAAGGCGACUGCCUGGCCGAAUACUGACGCUGAGGAACGAAAGCGUGGGGAGCAAACAGG